ACCCGGUCUCGUCAGAUCCUGGAAGUCAAGCAACAUUGGGUCAAGUUAGUACUUGGAUGGGUGACCGCCUGGGAAUACUUGAUGCUGUAGGUAA
rnacentral:rRNA from 1 species